rnacentral:rRNA from 1 species
CAGUCGCCACGGGAAUACGCAGGUGGCAAGCGUUGUCCGGAAUUAUUGGGCGUAAAGCGCGCGCAGGUGGUUUAAUAAGUCUGAUGUGAAAGCCCACGGCUCAACCGUGGAGGGUCAUUGGAAACUGUUAAACUUGAGUGCAGGAGAGAAAAGUGGAAUUCCUAGUGUAGCGGUGAAAUGCGUAGAGAUUAGGAGGAACACCAGUGGCGAAAGCGGCUCUCUGGCUUGUAACUGACGCUGAGGCUCGAAAGCGUGGGGAGCAAACAGGAUUAGAUACCCGCGUAGUCCCUGUCUCUUAUAC